rnacentral:misc_RNA from 1 species
UUAUUCUCCAGCUUGGACUCCUCUCUCUUAUGAGCAGCAUAAAGUUCAAAAGAUGAGCACGGCCCUACUGCUUCAAGGUAAGAAUUCUAAUUAAUCUUCUGAUAAGUUGGUUACUAUUGAUGCCUAUAGUGAGGAGUUACACUUGAAAUAAAUGUAUUUCGGUUAGACGUUUCUUGACUCAUCUUCUGCAUAUCUUCAUGAUCAAUCUAGUAAGCUUUAACAAAUCUCACUCUGCAGACCUUCAAAUGGCCUCUUAUUACAUGAAAAUAAAACUCCACACAUAAUUUCCAUUUAUAAAUAUGAUUUGCCAAACUUGCAAUAUUGUUUGGCUCAAUUUAUCCUGGAUCAAUAAUCAAUAUUACUAAUAAGUUAUUUUUGGACAAUGGGGAUACAUAAAAUUCAAACUUAAAUACCCUUUUGCAUCAACCUCGAUCAGAUCGAUUCUCUAGAGCUGAUGCAGCUGAAUCAACAUGAGCAAGCAAACAAGCAUAAACCUUUUGCUUCAACCGAUCAACAGUCUCCGAUAAUCCAUUAUUAUUUUCAGAGCUGAAGUUGUUUCUUUGUUUAUCUAGCCACUCAUUUGCAUGCUUGAGCUGUGACAAUGUGACAGCAAUAUGGUUGUUCUCUGGCUCCAUUCUCCGCCCAGAACUGUCCUUACCCUUCUUCUCCUGGAUAGCAACACGAAACCCAGUAUCCAAGGCUCCUUCGAAGAAUUUUAAAAACCAAUUUCUUGUUUCAUUCAAGACAGCCUCCCUUAGUUCAUUGAUUUCUUUUGCUCCAUCUCCUUUAGCCCACUCCAGCUUCUCAGUCGCUCCUAACUCUAUUGAAGACUUUGGAGGCUUCGAUGUACUCUUAGCAUGACUUAGACCUGUCUUUUUUGUUGUUUUUUCUGUGUCCGGAAAUGAAAACUGAGUCGAUAUUUUAAGUGAUUUAUCUUUUAGUGGGAUUGUUACAUUUGGUUGGUCGAUGAGCUGUUGCAGUGUGAAGAACUUGGUCAGAGAGUGAUGGGGGUUCUCUUGUGAGGCAGAGGAGCGGAGAUCGGCAAACAUGUUGAGACACUUGAUAAGAAUUGCGGUUGUAGAUGCUUCUUUCUGAGCUUCUGCUGCGAUCAAAGAAGCUAAAAAUCUUCUUCUAACCAUUCCCUUAUGAAAUGACAACAAAUAAUGAGGGAAAAAAAAGGAAAAGAACUGUAUUAUACAUUAUAAUUGAUACAAGAAUUGCUGCAUGAAUAAUUUUUUCCUAUACUUGUUCUCAAAAUCAAUACAUGAUACUAUCAAGGGGCCUUACGAACAAUAUGACUAUUAUCACAAUGCACAAAACUAAAAAUUUAUCUUCAAUCAUCAAGCCAACUGAACAGACUGAAAAAACAGAAUAAAAAAGCAAAAAAUGGAAACGAACCUUCCCAGGCUUCAAGAGGCUUGGAGGCAGAGAGGUCCAAGAUAUUGAAAUCUCAGGAAAAAUAUUUUUAUCUGAAUUCAAGUUUGUGUUUUCCUUUUUAUUUGGUGAAUAGUUUGUUGAUGUGCUCUUGGAAGGCACUGGAGUCUCCUUGGCAUAGGAUACAGCAACCUCUGGCUUUGAUGAAAUUGAGUCAUGUCGAUUUCGAUGAGGAGUAGUUGGGCGUGCCUGCAAUGCUAAUGGCAAUAUCUGUCACUUGAUUGACAUUUACAUCUUUGUGCAAAGGAUUAACAUUUUUUUAUCUUCACAAAAGAUUUGAAUUGCCAUUUGUCUUUGCUGGACAUAAAAACUGAUCAUUCAGAAUUUGCGGAGAAAACAUCUUGUGAUCUAUCAUGCAAGAGCACAAUGGACUAUGUAAUUCAGUAGCACCUUAAUAUUGUCAAAGAAAAGAAAUGGAAGAAUCUUAAAGAAAAUCAUGUAGCAGAACCUGUUAUCUAUAUCUGCAAGAUCAACACGUACGUUAGGCAAGAUUUUCAUACCUGACCUUUGUUUUCUUGCUGUUUGCCUUUCACUAAUCCAACCUUCUUAUUACCUGCUCCAUUGUCCUCCAUCUCAUUGCUCUUCCCACCUCCACUUGAGUCAGGUCCACUUAUUUUGGAACUUGCUGUCAAAACACCCUGCAUAUAUCUAGAAGCAACAGCAGCUUUUUCCUCCUUUAUAACAAUUCUGUGUCUUGGACUCCCCUCUUUCCCUUCCAAUAAUUCCUUAAAUUUUGAGCCAUUUAUUCCUUCACUAUCCACUGGUACAGGACCCUCAGAUGGUACUAACAUUUGCAUCAAAUCUUUUGGAUUUCCCACAAAAGGAUUUCGUCCUGGAACUGGUCUAACACCAACUAGGAUUGGAACUGGGGUUCCAGCUUCUAUUCUAUCAACAUAGAAAAAUUGACCAAGUUGUAACUUGUUAUUCAUAAUUAGGUCGUUAUCUUCCUUGGAUAAUGACACAUAGGUCGAAUGCGAGGAAUCAGAUACUUUUACAAAGAAGCCUUGGUUAGGCCAUAGCUCUGAGCCAGUCAAGGCAGGAACAAUGCUGAUAACUUGUAGCAGAACAGACCGAUACUCUCCACGAACCUUUGCUUUGGAGUUCAUACUCUGAAGAAGCUUUAGUAGCACUCCUGGUGUAAGUGAUGCCAUUCUUUUUGGUUCCCUAGUACAAAAUAUGAACUCCUUACCAAAUUCCUUUCUUUAGCCAAAUUUAAAAGCUGAAUGAUGCACCAAACUUAGUGUUGGAUCAUAAUUAUAGGUACACAGUGAAGGGGCCUCAUAAUUUAUAGGACUAGAAUUUUUUUUUUUUCAUUACAUCAAAUUUUUUGAGCACUCGACCACCAAACUAUUAGUCUAAUGCCCUGCAAAUUGAACAAACGAAAACUCCAGAAUAGAAGAUUCUUCACAAUGCAUAUAAUAUGGAACUAUAAGAACCAUGAAGAGCAAAACUCAGAUGUUUAAUCAGUUCAAACAUUAAAUAUGCAUAGCGGAUUGCAUUGCUGCCUUUAGACCUCAUAUGAUAAUCAAAUUAACUACAAAUUUCAGUAAUUGUCUUCUUGGAAAUUGACAAUAUCAAUCCAAAGCACUAUCCCUAGACCAAAAGAUGCUGCAUAAACACAAGAGGCUACUUGGACAGCUAAAUCUUGAUGAUGCUAAAGCAUAAAAUAAUUGAGGUACUUAAAUGUACAGCUAAGCUACAAAUGUUCAAAAUAAUCUGAAGUAUAGACAAAUAUAUAAGUUGAUAGAGAGAUAUGAAAGGAAUACCUUUUAAGAAGAAACACUAAACUCCAAGGAAGAAAGUGCAAGAAAAAGAUGAAGGAUUCUUCUGUGAAGGGAAAGAACGGAGAUGGUAGGCAACUUCAACUCAAGACUAUGCUGUUUUGGUGGCAGAACCCAUUGGCGCGGCCCAGAAUCUCUAUAGCUUUGCAUGACAGUCAC